rnacentral:rRNA from 1 species
GACGAACGCUGGCGGCGUGCUUAACACAUGCAAGUCGAACGAUGAAGCCGGAGCUUGCUCCGGUGGAUUAGUGGCGAACGGGUGAGUAACACGUGAGCAACCUGCCCUUGACUCUGGGAUAACUGCGGGAAACUGUAGCUAAUACCGGAUACGACCCUCGGAGGCAUCUCCUGGGGGUGGAAAGAAUUUCGGUCAAGGAUGGACUCGCGGCCUAUCAGCUAGUUGGUGAGGUAAAGGCUCACCAAGGCGACGACGGGUAGCCGGCCUGAGAGGGUGACCGGCCACAAUGGGACUGAGACACGGCCCAGACUCCUACGGGAGGCAGCAGUGGGGAAUAUUGCACAAUGGGCGCAAGCCUGAUGCAGCAACGCCGCGUGAGGGAUGACGGCCUUCGGGUUGUAAACCUCUUUUAGCAGGGAAGAAGCGAAAGUGACGGUACCUGCAGAAAAAGCACCGGCUAACUACGUGCCAGCCGCCGCAGUAA